rnacentral:rRNA from 1 species
CAAGGUCCGAAGCGGGUAACAGGAAAGAAGCUUGCUUCUUCUGCUGACGAGCGGCGGACGGGUGAGUAAUGCCUGGGAAUCUGCCUGAUGGUGGGGGAUAACUUGCGGAAACGUAAGCUAAUACCGCAUACCUCCUACGGAACAAAGGAGGGGACCUUCGGGCCUUUCGCUAUUAGAUGAGCCCAGGUGGGAUUAGUUAGUUGGUGAGGUAAUGGCUCACCAAGACCACGAUCCCUAACUGGUCUGAGAGGAUGAUCAGUCACACUGGAACUGAGACACGGUCCAGACUCCUACGGGAGGCAGCAGUGGGGAAUAUUGCACAAUGGGGGCAACCCUGAUCCAGCCAUGCCGCGUGUGUGAAGAAGGUCUUCGGAUUGUAAAGCACUUUCAGUUGGGAGGAAGAGCAUUUAGUUAAUAUUUGACUGUUUUGACGUUACCGACAGAAUAAGCACCGGCUAACUUCGUGCCACCACCCCCGGUAUUACGAAGGGUGCGAGCGUUAAUCCGAAAUUACUGGGCGUAAACCGCGCGUAGGUGGUUCAGUAAUUUAAUAUUGAAAUCUCUGCGCCUUAGCUUGGGAAAUUGCUUCUGAAACUGGCUGAGCUGAAUUACGGUAAAAGGGUGGUGUAUUUUCGUUUGUAGCGGUGAAGUGCAUAGAGUUUAGGAGGAAAAACGACUUGGGAAGGCC